UACGUAGGGUGCGAGCGUUAAUCGGAAUUACUGGGCGUAAAGCGUGCGCAGGCGGUUCGUUGUGUCCGAUGUGAAAGCCCCGGGCUUAACCUGGGAAUGGCAUUGGAAACUGGCGAGCUUGAGUGCGGCAGAGGGGGGUGGAAUUCCGCGUGUAGCAGUGAAAUGCGUAGAGAUGCGGAGGAACGCCGAUGGCGAAGGCAGCCCCCUGGGUCGACACUGACGCUCAGGCACGAAAGCGUGGGGAGCAAACAGG
rnacentral:rRNA from 1 species